rnacentral:rRNA from 1 species
UUUGAAAAAUUAAAUUAAUAAUAUAUAUAUAUAAUAAAAAUAAUUUUAAUUUAUUUAAUAAUUUAAUGGGGGUUAAAGUAUUAUUUAAAGAAAAAAUUUACAAUUUUAUAGUUAAUUAGUAUUGUGAAAGAAUUUUGAAAUAAUUGAAAAUUAAUUAAUUAAAAAGUAAUUUUUGUUUAAUGUAUCUUGUGUAUCAGAGUUUAUUAAAAAUUUUUAAUUUAUAUUUAAAUUCUCGAAUUUAAAAGAGUUAAAUAAUUAUAAAAGUUAUUGUAGCAAAAUUAUUUUAAAUAAUUAUUUUGAAAUGAAAUGUUAAUCGUUUUUAAAUAUAUCUAGUUUUUUUAGAAAAAAAUUUAAUUUUAAAUUUAUUUUAUUAAAAAAUUAAUUAAUUAAUUUUUUAAUAAAUAAAUUUUAUAUUUUAAGGGAUAAGCUUUAAAAAUUAAAUUUUUAUAAUAUUAAAAUUUUUUAAUUUAAAAAUUUUAUAAUUUAUAUUGUUAAUAAAUUUUAUUUUAUUAUAAAUAAUUUUAAAUUAAUUAAAAUUUAAAAAUUUUAUAUUUAAUUUUUUAUAAAAAAAAUAAUUUUUAAUAAUUUAAAAUUAAAGAUAAUGAUAAAAUUAGUAUAUUAUAUAAUGUCUAUUUAUAAUUUUAAUUUAAAUUUAUAUUAAUAAUUUAAUUAAUAAAAAGGAAUUCGGCAAAUAAUUAUUUUCACUUGUUUAUCAAAAACAUGUCUUUUUGAAAUUUAUUUAAAGUCUAAUCUGCCCACUGAUUAAAAUUAAAGGGCUGCAGUAUUUUGACUGUACAAAGGUAGCAUAAUCAUUAGUCUCUUAAUUGGUGACUUGUAUGAAAGAUUGGAUGAAAAAUAUACUGUCUCUUAAUUAAUUUAUAGAAUUUAAUUUUUUAUUUAAAAAGUUAAAAUAUGUUAAAAAGACGAGAAGACCCUAUAGAGUUUAAUAAAUAAUUUUAUAUUUGGUUAUUUAUAUUUUUAUUAAAAAUUUUUAUAAAAUUAUUUAUUUUAUUGGGGUGAUAAAAAAAUAAAUAAAACUUUUUUUAAAAAUUAACAUAAAUAAGUGAAUUAUUGAUCCAAUUAUAUUGAUUAAAAGAUUAAAUUACCUUAGGGAUAACAGCGUAAUUUUUUUUUUUAGUUCAUAUAAAAAAAAAAGUUUGCGACCUCGAUGUUGGAUUAAGAUAAAAUUUAAAUGCAAAAGUUUAAAAUUUUUGAUCUGUUCGAUCAUUAAAAUCUUACAUGAUCUGAGUUCAAACCGGUGUAAGCCAGGUUGGUUUCUAUCUUUUAAAUUAUUAAAUAUUUUAGUACGAAAGGAUUGAAUAUUUUAAUUAAAUUAUAAAUUGGAAAGAAUUUUAUUAAAUAAUUAAUAAAAUUUAUUUUAUAUAUUAUAAAUU